rnacentral:tRNA from 1 species
GGCCCGGUGGCGGAAAGCUUCCCACGCGAGAGCGGUGCAUCGCUCUAUAUCCUGGUUCAAAUCCAGGCCGGGCCUCCA